rnacentral:lncRNA from 1 species
AGGGACAUUAAAUUCCUAAUUACAGGUGGAAAAUAUGUCCUACAUUGGGCUUCUUGUCAGGCCUGAAAUGGCCUACAUUUAAAUUGUGUUGGACUAGACCUAUCACUUAAAAAAUUGCAAUACCAAGCAUGGCCCAUGGGGCCAGCCCAUGUAAGUUGAGUCAGGCGACUUGACAUGGAUAUUAUUACUAUUAAAAAUUUCGAAGAAAAAUCUAAAUACGUGUCCCCACGUCCAACAACAACAGCCAAAUAUUUAUUCCCCGAAAAAAAUCAAGCCCAUCCCCAUGCUGGGCCAGGACAGAUAACACCUCUAAACAAGUAAUUCAUCGUCAUUUGGCAUGGGUAAAGAAACUGUCGGUGCUACAGAACGGCUGCAUUAAUACUAGGGGCGUAGGGCGGGGGGGCAGUGCCGAAAGCCCAUUACCUUUUUU